rnacentral:rRNA from 1 species
GCUUACGGCCAUACCACCCUGUCUGCUCCUGAUCUCGUCUGAUCUUGGAAGCUAAGCAGGGUUGGGCCUGGUUAUUACUUGGAUGGGAGAAUACUGGGUGCUGUAAACU